GGCGGACGGGUGAGUAACGCGUAGGAAUCUACCUAAUGGUGGGGGAUAGCCCAGGGAAACUUGGAUUAAUACCGCAUAAGUCCUAAGGGAGAAAGCGGGGGAUCUUCGGACCUCGUGCCAUUAGAUGAGCCUGCGUAAGAUUAGCUAGUUGGUGAGGUAAGAGCUCACCAAGGCGACGAUCUUUAGCUGGUCUGAGAGGAUGAUCAGCCACACUGGGACUGAGACACGGGCCCAACUCCUACGGGAGGCAGCAGUAGGGAAUAUUGGACAAUGGGGGAAACCCUGAUCCAGCAACGCCGCGUGCACGAUGAAGGCCUUCGGGUUGUAAAGUGCUUUUGUGAGGGAAGAAUCCCUGACGGUACCUCACGAAUAAGAGGUUGCUUACUCUGUGCCAGCAGCAGCGGUAAUACAGAGACCUCAAGCGUUAUCCGGAUUUAUUGGGCGUAAAGCGUUC
rnacentral:rRNA from 1 species